AUUGAACGCUGGCGGCAGGCCUAACACAUGCAAGUCGAACGAGUGGCGGACGGGUGAGUAAUAUCUGGGAAACUGCCUGAUAGAGGGGGAUAACUACUGGAAACGGUAGCUAAUACCGCAUACCAUCGGAUGUACCCAGAUGGGAUUAGCUAGUAGGUGGGGUAAAGGCUCACCUAGGCGACGAUCCCUAGCUGGUCUGAGAGGAUGAUAAGCCACACUGGAACGGAGACACGGCCCAUACUCCUACGGUAGGCAGCAGUGGGGAAUAUUGCACAGUGGGCGCAAGCCGUAUGCAGCCAUGCCGCGUGUAUGAAGAAGGCCUUAGGGUUGUAAAGUACUUUCAGCGGGGAGGCGUUACCCGCAGAAGAAGCACCGGCUAACUCCGUGCCAGCAGCCGCGGUAAUAC
rnacentral:rRNA from 1 species